rnacentral:tRNA from 1 species
GCCUGGCUGGCUCGGUCGGUAGAGCAUGUGACUCUUGAUCUUGGGGCUGUGAGUUCAAGCCUCACAUUGGGCA